rnacentral:tRNA from 2 species
GCCACUUUAGCUCAGCAGGUUAGAGCGGUUGUUUCGUAAACAACAGGUCUGGGGUUCGAUUCCCCAAGGUGGCUC